UGGAAGAGCGACGUCCCCGGUGGGGUGCCUGGUCUUCAAAACCAGUGAGGUGCUGACAAGGCGCCUGGUGGGUUCGACUCCUACCUCUUCCGCC
rnacentral:tRNA from 1 species